UGGUCCUGCGGGGUGCCCCCCUCCCCCCAGGGGGUCUGGUCCUGCGGGGUGCCCCCCUCCCCCCAGGUGCUCUGGUCCCACGGGGUCUGGUCCUUUGGGGUGCCCCCUCCCUGCGAGGAGAGGAGUCCUGGUUUCCAAGGUGCCCAGCGGUGACGCCAGGGUGUGCAGGCGGGCUGGCGGAUGGGCGGGUGGGGGGAGCCGGAACAGGAGCCAGCACGAUGGAAAGUGGGGGAGAGGGGAUCCCCCCGCGCUUUCCCGAGCCAGCAGCCGAGUCACAGGGAGGUUUCCAUUUAUGGUAAAACACAGGAAGAAGGAUCAUCCCGAAACCGCCUCUGAGGGAGGCUGGGGUGAUGUCACCCAGCCUGGACGCAGGCGGUGGUGGCCCUGGGAGGCAGCAGCAGAUUCACAGCGAUUUCUGAGGUUGGAACAGGAAAUGGUUAAUAGUGUUUGCAAAUAAAAACUUUCUGUUCUAUCCUGUUUUUGAAGCAUUUCCCAGAAGUUAAAAAAGAACACCUAAUUUAUCUGCCCAUUUUAAGAACCAAAUUUUAAAAAUGUGAACAAAAUACUACACCAUUUACUGCGCACAAGAAUGAAGGGAGUCGGGUGUUUGUGAGGUGUAGGAGGGUCACAGGAGAUUUCCAGGUCCCCUCACUUUCUAAACUUUCUAGAAUGCUGUUCGUUGUUUAAAUGUGGACUCUUAUCUUAAAUUUCCGAAUGCGCUUGUGUGUGUGUGUGCGUACGUGUACGUGCUCCCGUGUGUGUGUGUGCUGUGUGUUCACAGGCGUGUGCGAGACACGGUUCACGUGAACGCGUCCCUGACCUCUGGUGGUGGACGCCACUCGGGCUCCUCGCUGGCCACUGGCACGUGGACGUGGACGAGGGAGGGGCCUUGUCCCGCCCUGCACCCACCUGCUCAUUUUGAUGGAGAAACGAAACCUAACUGUCUACUGGUUUGAGGAAAUCGCACUGUCAAACCAACUGUUUGCCAGUUUUUUAUUUUUUCUUUUGCAAAAUCACCACAUGGCCGAUUGGUUAUGGCAGACACACUCACGGCAAAUAUGUCUGUGGCCAAUGUGCCAGCCACACAGGCACAGCCUCACGGGUCCCCAGGCCCCUGGUCUGUCCCUUCUUUGUCCAGGGUGGUCUCUGCUCCUUGCAGGGCAAGCCCCCCUCCCACCGAGGCUUGGAGGACGUGACUGGCCCCCGCCUGGCAGCAGCCGGGGGGACGCCAGGGCAAAGAACUUGGGGGCACUGGGAAGAGCCCGUAGGAGCAGAUGCCGCUGCCUGCCUGCGGCCCAGGAUGCCCGCCCCGCCCGCCUGCUGGGGGCUGGGGUCUGCGCGGGCAGCGUGUCCCUGGAGGUGUACAACUUCUGCUGGUGUUUGGAGGAGGGCAGGGGUGAACCCAGCAUGAUUAUUGCCACUCGAUUUUCUCUCCUGGCCUGUCUGUCUCUCAACUUUUCUCCCUCCAGGCACACGAGGUGGGGUCCGGCCGACAGAGCAAACCAGCCAGCCAGCCAGCCAGCUGGCCUCCAGCUUAGACUCCUUUGCUGUGCUGUCCUGCCCCAAAGCUGGUACUUCUCUGGUCCAGCCUCGCAGUGAGUGGCUUUGGGGGAACCUGCCCAGGCCACGCCUAGGCCAAGAGGGGGACAGAUGCUCUGAGCUCUGAGAUCCACUCCCUCGGGGCUGCCCAGGGGUGAGGCCCUGCCUUCCAGCCACCUUCUCGGAAAGCUGAACUCAAGAUGAGUGCCAGGCAGGCAAGAGAGGGUCCGUCGGGGAGAGGAGAGCGCCGUCUCUGUCAGACGGAUAUCACAUCGCUGAGAGAUCGAAGAAGUUUCAGAAAUGCAAAACAUGAUGUGAACAUCAAGUCACGUGCCAGGAUUAGCUGCAGACUGGGCGAGCAGAGAUUUUGUCAGCCGUCGAGAAGGGGAAAGGAUUGCUCUGAGUGCAGGUUAGUGAGACACAGAGUCCGGGGCCCCACAGGGGAUGGGGCUCUGCCCUCUGAAGGCGUUGGCUGGCUUCACACCCUGGAGCUCCGGGGCUUUCCACAAAGCAACAGGACCAGAGCGCAACAUCCGAACUCCUAGAAGGGUGGGAAGGGAGAUUGGAAACAGUGCACCCACAGGGGAGAGCAGGGACCUGGGGACAGGCUGGCGGUCAGAGCGGAGGAGGCCCAGGCCGCCGGGAAGGCCCACGGAGCACGCUGGCCCCGGGGCGGAGGCAGUGGUCCUGAAAGCUGAAGACGGAUGUCCGACCUUCAUCUGGGGGACGUGAGCGUGAACAGCGGCUUGCCCUGAUUGGGGGCAGAGGCCCAGACACACGCGCACAGUAUGUGUCCUGCAGGGUUCCUUUUGCAGAAAGCUCAAAGCGGCAAAAAGAAACAAUUUCAGCUGGCGGAGCUCCAAGGGGCUACCCCCCCCCCCCCCGCCCCGUAGAGCCUCUGCAGGGGAGGGGCACCCCAGAGAGUUUUGGGGGUGCCGCGCAAGAUCUUUAUAACAACUUGUGAAGCAUUAUGUUUUAGCCAUUUUUUUAGGUACACGUUUUACAUUUCUAGCCAAUAAAAAGUUUGAAAAAAAACCAUGGGGAAAAUUUACAAUGAUACAUGUUCCGUAAAGUUCCUCACAGCCUUGUUUCUGAUGGCAAAGAAUGAGCACGGGCGGGGGCGGGGCACGCAGACUUGGGCUCGGCUGCGGACUGGAAAGAUGUCAGAUAUUUCCAGACGGACGAGUACGGACCGCCGGCCGAGGUAUGUCGUGGAGUAAAGAGGCCAUGCUGUACGAUAACAUGUUUAGCAUGAGUUCCUGUUCAUGAAAAAUAGAUACGAAAAUUUACACAGGCACGUGUGUGAAAAACGUAUGGAUGUCAGCACACACAAGGAUGAUCAUGUACGAUUUGAUUGUAUUGCAGUUUUUCCCUUUUUAUUAAUCUGUACGUUUCUCGUUUUUUCUGAAAUGAAAACGUAUUGCUUGCGUAAUAAAAAAUGUUCAAGGGGA